GCUGACGAGUCCCAAGUAGGACGAAACGUGCGUCC
rnacentral:hammerhead_ribozyme from 1 species